rnacentral:rRNA from 1 species
AAACCAACAGGGAUUGCUCUAGUAACGGCGAGUGAAGCAGCAAUAGCUCAAAUUUGAAAUCUGGCGUCUUCGACGUCCGAGUUGUAAUUUGUAGAGGAUGCUUCUGAGUGGCCACCGACCUAAGUUCCUUGGAACAGGACGUCAUAGAGGGUGAGAAUCCCGUAUGCGGUCGGAAAGGUGCUCUAUACGUAGCUCCUUCGACGAGUCGAGUUGUUUGGGAAUGCAGCUCUAAAUGGGAGGUAAAUUUCUUCUAAAGCUAAAUAUUGGCCAGAGACCGAUAGCGCACAAGUAGAGUGAUCGAAAGAUGAAAAGCACUUUGGAAAGAGAGUUAAAAAGCACGUGAAAUUGUUAAAAGGGAAGGGAUUGCAACCAGACUUGCUCGCGGUGUUCCGCCGGUCUUCUGACCGGUCUACUCGCCGCGUUGCAGGCCAGCAUCGUCUGGUGCCGCUGGAUAAGACUUGAGGAAUGUAGCUCCCUCGGGAGUGUUAUAGCCUCUUGUGAUGCAGCGAGCGCCGGGCGAGGUCCGCGCUUCGGCUAGGAUGCUGGCGUAAUGGUCGUAAUCCGC